GACGAACGCUGGGGCGUGCUUAACACAUGCAAGUCGAACGGAAAGGCCCUGCUUUUGUGGGGUGCUCGAGUGGCGAACGGGUGAGUAACACGUGAGUAACCUGCCCUUGACUUUGGGAUAACUUCAGGAAACUGGGGCUAAUACCGGAUAGGAGCUCCUGCUGCAUGGUGGGGGUUGGAAAGUUUCGGCGGUUGGGGAUGGACUCGCGGCUUAUCAGCUUGUUGGUGGGUAGUGGCUUACCAAGGCUUUGACGGGUAGCCGGCCUGAGAGGGUGACCGGCCACAUUGGGACUGAGAUACGGCCCAGACUCCUACGGGAGGCAGCAGUGGGGAAUAUUGCACAAUGGGCGGAAGCCUGAUGCAGCAACGCCGCGUGCGGGAUGACGGCCUUCGGGUUGUAAACCGCUUUCGCCUGUGACGAAGCGUGAGUGACGGUAAUGGGUAAAGAAGCACCGGCUAACUACGUG
rnacentral:rRNA from 1 species